rnacentral:lncRNA from 1 species
UUUUUUUUUUGGUUCUUUCUGGGGCCGCACCUGCAGCAUAUGGAGGUUCCCAGGCCAGGGGUCCAAUUGGAGCUAUAGUUGCCGGUCUACACCACAGCCAUAGCAACACCAGAUCCGAGCCGCAUCUGUGACCUACACCACAGCUCAGGGCAACACCAGAUCCUUAACCCACUGAGCAAGGCCAAGGAUCGAACCUGUGUCCUCUUGGAUGCUAGUCAGAUUUGUUAACCGCCGAGCCAUGACGGGAAGUCCCGAAUUGGCGUUUCAGUACAGAUGACAGGUCACGGCCGGGCCAGACCCCUGAGGGCCCGAUUCCCAGCCUCACUGCUGAGCAUGGCUCCCUCGCGAUCUCAGAGUCUGAUUAUACUCGAAAACUUCAAGGGAGAUGGCAGUGCCCGGGGCUGGGAAGGCUGGGGCGGGGGAGGGGGGACGGUGGCGGAGGUGGUUCACGCAUGACCUGUGUAGUCCUGGGCAGCGGAUGCUCGGAAUGACACAUGGACAUCAACCCCCAAGUCUCAGAACAAGACGGAACCACCACGAGAUCCCCAGGCCGCCAGGCCCUCCACAGCCCCCAUCACGGAACCAUCAGAGCCUCCCCGCCCCCAGCAGACGUGCCAGACAAGCCCUCUUCCGAGCGCUUUGCAAGACCUGAAUCAUUGCAUCGUCACAACCCCCUGUGACUGCAGUUCCCAACUAUACUGCACCCGGGAAACCCCAACACCCAGGCCACACCCCCCACUAAUCAUGAUACCUGGGGGUGGGGGCAGGCACUGAUCUUUCUUAAAGACCCUCAGGCAAUCCCAAUGCCCAGCCAAGCCUGGAACAUUCAGCUAAGACAUGGUGCCAUGACCGUCCACAUUUUUCAGAUAAGACAACAGAGGCAGAGAGGUCAAUGCCUCCCCAAGGUCACGCGGCUGGCAAGCAGCAGAGCUGGGACCCGAACCCAGUGGGAUGACCGCCAAACACUAAGAAAUCACAUCCGGGAAAGGUACCGUAGAAAGAGCAUAAAUCACUAGCAUGGGAUGAAGUGAAGCAGGUGGGGAGAGCAACUGCGAGGGUGCAGGCGGUGACCUUCAAGAAAGGUGGGUGGCUGGCCGCCGGAGGCAGAUCGGACACCUGCAAGCAGGCAGGACCAGGCCACGCUUCCGAGAAGGGCGACCAUGCAGGCGGGGACCUCUGGAAAGCAUCUGUUCUAGAGCAGUGGUUCCCAAGCUGAAAAUCAGCCGGCAGGACUGUGAAAAGAGACAGCUGCCCCCACCCCCAGAAUCUCUUGUUCACCAGGUCCCCGGCGGAGCCCUAGAAUCUGCAUCCCCAGAUAGCGCUGCUGUAGAAGCAGUGCUCUGAGCACAUGGGAGCAGUCAGCAAUGAUGGGCUGGGGACUGUGGACACACAGCACUGUCCCAGGGUCCCUCCUUGACGGGGUGGGGUCUGCCUGUUCCUCUGCUUAUUCUGUCCCCGGAGGCUGGAAUCCCUCCCUCUGUCAGCUCCUUCCCCAGUUCCGGCACUCCUCUUACCAUUCAGCCCAGGCUGUGGUCAGCUCCUCCUCCAGGAAGCCCUCCUGGAUCCUCGGCCUCCUGAGGCACAGGAUGGGGCCUUCCUUGUGUUCAGGAAGGCUGACAUCGGACCACAACCGGGUAUGAGCAACACAGAGCAGCCUGGUCCACUUGGGGCUUUGCCUCCGCUCCUGGUUCGAAAGCGCCCCCUUCCUCCAUUGUUCUAUCCUCCAUUCAGCCAGCAGGAACCAUCUAGUUUGUAAACGGUUCCAGGAAUGCUGCCGGGGAGGUUGUUCAGAGCUACAGAGGACACAGGCGUGGGAAGAUGCAUGCGGAUCUCCAGUGCCAGGCAGCCCUGUGUUCAAAUCCCAGCCUGGACUUUUAGGACAGGGCUUUGGCCACGAACCUCCCUUCCUUCCUUCACCUGUGAAACGGCAGCAAGCAGUAAACCUAACCUGCUCCAGUUACAAAGAUCCUCAUCUGAAGCACAGAACAGCCAGCCAGUGUCUCAGUUCUCCCAAGGCCGUAUGUAAGCACCCAUCUCAUUCUGAAGCAUCCGAGAGAAGCUAAUUACCUGCAACAUACACCUUAGGGCACUGGGGUUGAAGUCUGCCAAAGACGGCUGAUAGGGAAUGCAUUGAGCAACCUCGGGGUGAGCAGUACCCUCCAGGCACCCCGAGGGCGCCUGGAAAAAGAGAUCAAACAGCAGGGAGCAGAGCUGGGGCAGAGCUGGGCGUCAGAUGCCAAGAGGAGAAGGAGGCGGGCACAGGAACACGAGACAGCGACUAGCUGGCCAGGCUCCCCCUUCGCCCGUGUCUUAUCUGAGAUGCGGAGAUGAAGGAAGUCACGUGAGCCUUUAUACUAAUGCAUUUCUCUCUGCAAACGGAAAAUGCAAUUAAACAUUCCACUUACUGAGGUUCACAUUGCCAUGUACUGGAUAAUGAGCCUCCAGAAAGCAAUGUACGUUUGGUGUUCCUUCCUGAUGUUCUGGAAAACAAAACGCUUUCUUUCCAGAACACCGGAAUUUAGACUUCGGUCAUUUUAUGAUCCCAUUUAUGUCAUGACAUAUCUCCAAAGCAAACCUUUUCACAGGUUUAGCUUGCAGACAGACAGAAAAAACAAAAACAAAAACAAAAAAAAACAAACAAAAAAAAGCAAACAAACACCCACUGACACUUUCCAUCCUAAAAGAAUCCUCCUACUGCCUCUCAGCUCAGGAAAGGGUAGGUCCACUGCUCUCCACAACAAGCCGAAAGGUCCAUCCACCAAGCUGUAGGACCAGGCAUGGAGCAUCCCGGACCAGAGGUGGGCCGGUUGGGGAUCUGAGGCCAGCUUGAAUGUCCUGCUGCUUCCCUGGGACAUGCCAUUUUAUUUCUCUGGGCCAGUUGCCUUGUCGGUGGACUAUAUAAGGUCCCUUCCAGCCAUCAAAGUAUAAAACUCUACCAACACCCUACUUCAGUCAGCAUCUGCAAAAGGAACAAAUGCUUGCCUCCAACUUUCAGGAAGGUGAUAUUUGAACAAGGCUUUAAAUUAUGUUACGAAACAGAAAUAAACAAGACUCAUGACAUCAGGGGCCAUCAAGGACAGUGAAGGUCUGGCCGUCUAAAGUGAAACUGACCUCUCAGCGCAGGGGGAGAGCUGGCUGGCGACAGUCUUUGCGGGACACUUCCCUCCAGCCCUCCUGUGGCUAAGGGGGCCUGGCCCUCGCCUGAAGCAAAAGCUGGAAGCCAGCCCAGGCACUGUCCCCUGGCUUUCCGAGGGACUCCAGUUUUCCCCAUACCCUGCUCUACGGGGAGAGCUCCUGCGCCCUCAACCGCAGUAAACCUCGGACCAAAUAAAAGGUGCAAAUUAACAACCUCAUGGCCAGAGCGGAAUCCCAGCCACAUCCGAGUUCAAAAGACCUUAGGGCAAAGCCGCCUGGUGAGAAGAAGGCUCCCUAGCACAGACAUGAGGCACUGGGCCUGGUACCUCACUUGCCCACGUCUCCCUUUUCUCAUCUGUAAAAUGGGUUAGGGACACAGCGACAUCACAGGCAGAGGAUUCAGGAGUCCUUACUGCCUGGAAGUUCCGCAGAGGAGUGCUUAGUGCCCACUAAGUGCUGGAUACCCGCUACUGCACCCUCGUCGUAAUAUCAGUAUCAACCGAGUCGGAGAGCCUCUCUACCGAUGGACGACGGGACUUCAGUGGAAACACAGCAGAAGCAGGAGCAGGCGGGAAGGUCCUGGGGAGAUGCAGCUUCCGCCUGCCUCCCAGGGACACUUUCAGACGUUCUGAAAUAAAGCCGUCUGCCAGGCAAUGGAGGGUUGACUGGAAAGGCGGGGAAGGAGCCUGGGUGGGGCGGCAGUGAAAAAUCACAACCAGAGGAACCUAAACAAGGUGUGUGCUCUGGAGGCGGGAAAAGUGCAGGGAGAAGUAGGUAAGAGGCAGGACAGCCCACACCACGGCGCACAGGCAGAAAGGCAGACAGUCAGCCUGGGUGGGAGGAAGAUGGAAAAUC